rnacentral:rRNA from 1 species
GAUGAACGCUGGCGGCGUGCCUAAUACAUGCAAGUCGAGCGAACAGACGAGGAGCUUGCUCCUCUGACGUUAGCGGCGGACGGGUGAGUAACACGUGGAUAACCUACCUAUAAGACUGGGAUAACUUCGGGAAACCGGAGCUAAUACCGGAUAAUAUAUUGAACCGCAUGGUUCAAUAGUGAAAGACGGUUUUGCUGUCACUUAUAGCUGGAUCCGCGCCGCAUUAGCUAGUUGGUAAGGUAACGGCUUACCAAGGCGACGAUGCGUAGCCGACCUGAGAGGGUGAUCGGCCACACUGGAACUGAGACACGGUCCAGACUCCUACGGGAGGCAGCAGUAGGGAAUCUUGCGCAAUGGGCGAAAGCCUGACGGAGCAACGCCGCGUGAGUGAUGAAGGUCUUCGGAUCGUAAAACUCUGUUAUUAGGGAAGAACAAAUGUGUAAGUAACUAUGCACGUCUUGACGGUACCUAAUCAGAAAGCCACGGCUAACUACGUG